rnacentral:rRNA from 1 species
AGAGUUUGAUCCUGGCUCAGGAUGAACGCUAGCGGCAGGCUUAACACAUGCAAGUCGAGGGGUAUAAUUCUUCGGAACUAGAGACCGGCGCACGGGUGCGUAACGCGUAUGCAAUCUACCUUUUGCAGAGGGAUAGCCCAGAGAAAUUUGGAUUAAUACCUCAUAGUAUGUGAGAAUGGCAUCAUUUUCGCAUUAAAGUCACAACGGCAAAAGAUGAGCAUGCGUCCCAUUAGCUAGUUGGUAAGGUAACGGCUUACCAAGGCAACGAUGGGUAGGGGUCCUGAGAGGGAGAUCCCCCACACUGGUACUGAGACACGGACCAGACUCCUACGGGAGGCAGCAGUGAGGAAUAUUGGACAAUGGGCGCAAGCCUGAUCCAGCCAUGCCGCGUGCAGGAUGACGGUCCUAUGGAUCGUAAACUGCUUUUGUACAGGAAGAAACACUGGUUCGUGAACCAGCUUGACGGUACUGUAAGAAUAAGGAUCGGCUAACUCCGUGCCAGCAGCCGCGGUAAUACGGAGGAUCCAAGCGUUAUCCGGAAUCAUUGGGUUUAAAGGGUCCGUAGGCGGUUUAGUAAGUCAGUGGUGAAAGCCCAUCGCUCAACGGUGGAACGGCCAUUGAUACUGCUAGACUUGAAUUAUUAGGAAGUAACUAGAAUAUGUAGUGUAGCGGUGAAAUGCGUAGA